rnacentral:lncRNA from 1 species
GGGGAGGUUGGUCUCUGUAGGGCCAAAACUAAUUCACCACAACGAGGAGGAAAGCCCAGAGCUCAUUGCUGAACCUAUUGUUGACGCGUUGCUAUUCCGUACGCGUGUUUAACAGCUCUAAAAGCCAUGCCCUGAAGCUGAUCUACUGAUAAAUUGCUCUGCAGCUCCCUCUAAUGGAUCGUUUGGCCAGACAGGGGCUCGGGGCAGCAGAUGCGAUAAAGCAGCGCCCGCUGCAGGGUAACACCGAGAGAGCUCUGCAGCACCAUCGUUGCCGCUGUUAUCUCUCCCCGUCCAUCCGUCACUUCACUCUUAUCUCAGCAUCUGCUGCAGCUCUGCUUCUAAGAGCUGAGAGGAGCAGGCACAGCUAAACCAGAAGGCAGCCUGCAGUUAUAUUUCCCUAAGCUGACCAUGAAGGGACAAAGCAGCUUCUUAUGAAGUGGAGAUGACAACGCUUUGCUGGUGGUAAAAAAUAAAAAUAAAAAAUAAAAAAAUAGAUCUAAUGUUGUGAUUGUACAGCUGGGGAAAAAAAUAGUCGGCCAAGUAUGUCAGACAACAAAAAUAAGCAAAAAUUACUUUGAUUUGGCUUCUACUAAAGGGACUAAAAAUAAAUACUUCUUUCAGAGGCCCCUUCUCAGAACAGGGGAUCGUGGAGGACCCACAAUCCUUAUAUCAAAACACUGAAUUAGUGAAUCUGGA